rnacentral:rRNA from 1 species
AGUGAACGCUGGCGGCGUGCCUAAUACAUGCAAGUCGAACGAGCGACGCACGGGUGAGUAAUGUAUAGCUAAUCUGCCCUCCACUAGAGGACAACAGCUGGAAAAGACUGCAACUACUCUAUAGUGUAGGAUGAGGCUAUACUGUAUCAGCUAGUUGGUGAGGUAAUGGCUAACCAAGGCUAUGACGCAUAACUGGUCGGAGAGGAUGAUCAGUCACACUGGAAGUGAGACACGGGCCAGACUCCUACGGGAGGCAGCAGUAGGGAAGAUUGCUCAAGGGGGGAAACCCUGAAGCAGCAACGGGGCGUGGAGGAUGACACUUUUCGGAGCGUAAACUCCUUUUGUUACGGAAGCGGUACCGAACGAAGAAGCACCGGCUAACUCCGUGCCAGCAGCCGCGGUAAUUC